UCUACGGGAGGCUGCAGUGGGGAAUAUUGGACAAUGGGGGGAACCCUGAUCCAGCGACGCCGCGUGAGUGAAGAAGUAUUUCGGUAUGUAAAGCUCUAUCAGCAGGGAAGAAAUAAAUUACGGUGCCUGACUAAGGAUUCCCGGCUAACUAUGUGCGAGCAGCCGCGGUAAUGCGGAGGCGGCAAGCGGUAUACGGAUUUACUGGGAGGAAAGUGAGCGUAGACGGCGAUGCAAGUCUGAAGUGAAAGGCCGGGGCUCAACCCCCGGACUGCUUGGGAAACUGUGUGGCUGGAGUGCAGGAGAGGUAAGCGGAAUUCCUAGUGUAGCGGUGAAAUGCGUAGAUAUCAGGCAGAACCCCAGUGGCGAAGGCGGCUUAC
rnacentral:rRNA from 1 species